CUGAGGUGUGUAACUAACAUAAGUAGAUGUAAGCACACAUCAUUCAUUUAUUUAUGUAACUACAUACACGUUUAAUACAUAAAAACAUAGUCAAACAUGUAGUCCUUGCCAUAUUGUUUUAGAUCAGUCUGGUCACUAAGCGGCAGAAGAGCUCAAUAACAAAUACGCAGCCUAAAAGUUGCUUUUGCGCUGACUUGUUAGCUAACGUUAACACUUCCCUAAUUACACCUCUUAUAAUCUAUCCAUUACUUGCCAUUACACAUCCUGCAUCAUUCCAUUGGAGUCGUCGUUUUGGCCACCCGACGAAUGUUCCACUCUUUUGCAGCGCAAACAGAAAAAGCCGUUUGGCCAAAUACACUUUGCCUGAAUGGGACGACACAGGACAGACGGAUGGGAGGUCGUUUAUACGAAGUAAGAACAACAGUGGUCCUAAAUUUGAUCCUUGAGGAAGACCGGUGGACAGACUAAGGGCGGCUGAAUUAAACGACUGGACUCUGACAUGUUGGGAGCUGUCAGUGAGAUGGAAUGAGGGUCACCGCUUUUGAAGAUGGAAUUUACAAUAGCUGGUUUCCACAUGCUUGGGAACAUGUUUUGUGAAAUGGACAGAUUGAUCAUUUUGGUAGUGGGCCACGUGACUGAUGUGCUGAUCUCCUUGAGCAUCGCUGUGUUCAUACCGAAAAUAUCUUUACAUGCUGAUGGUCUGAGUGAUUUAAUGGUCUGUGAUACCUCUGAUACUGUGAUGCUUCUUAAACUAAAAGUUGGUUCACAUGUAUCUACUGAAGGGAGUGUAUGUGUUCUCAGGUGCAAAACAGUGUGCUAAAACAGUUUGCUAUGUUAAUGGUUGGUUGUAGUUCCUGUACAACAUGGGUAUUUGUGUGGCUUGGUUUGUUCAGAUACAGUAUAGUAUAGUCAACAUGUUUUAAAUACUAGUUCUGAUGUGAUACAUGAGUGUUUGUAUCAAUACUAAUAGCUUUUUUAAUACCAUCUUGAGAAGUUUUCUGUCUGUUUUUAUUGGGGAAAAAGGGGCCGAACUUCUCAAAUGUUAAUUGAUGAUGAUAACUCUUUUGAGGAAAAUUUGGAACUACUGUGUCAAGAACAAGUACACAAGAGCUUUCAGUAGGCCUGCUUGACAGGUUUAGAUAGUCAAGUGCUAUGGACACAUUUCUGUCUGUACCCGACAAAAAAAACAAUUGAAGGCCAAAAGCCAGCCCUAACCAUGGCUGGUUAUUCAUCAAAAAAUACCAGAUCAACUCUGCUAACAACGUAUGCUGAAUAAACAUUCUAAUGAACGAACUGACUUCUUAGAAUACAAGUGCCUUUGUACUUUGUAUUUUAAGGUCAGCAUAGUACGAAACCCUUACAGCUGUUCUGCCAAUGCCCAGACUCUGUAGUAGGGCUAUGUAUUGUUAACAUGUUUUCGAUACCGUGACUUUGAUACAGGUUCCUAAACAAUCCUUUUUUCGAUACAAAUUUUAUGAAAACAAAGACAAAUUACAACA